GGGGCUAUAAGUUAGUGGUAAAGCACAUGCUUAGCAUGCAUGAGGUUCUGGGUCCAGUCCCCAGUAUCUCCA
rnacentral:tRNA from 1 species